rnacentral:rRNA from 1 species
CAGUAGCCGCGGGAACACGAAGGGUGCAAGCGUUAAUCGGAAUUACUGGGCGUAAAGCGUGCGUAGGCGGUGAGUUAAGUCUGCUGUGAAAUCCCCGGGCUCAACCUGGGAAUGGCAGUGGAUACUGGCUCGCUAGAGUGUGUCAGAGGAUGGUGGAAUUCCCGGUGUAGCGGUGAAAUGCGUAGAGAUCGGGAGGAACAUCAGUGGCGAAGGCGGCCAUCUGGGACAACACUGACGCUGAGGCACGAAAGCGUGGGGAGCAAACAGGAUUAGAUACCCGCGUAGUCCCUGUCUCUUAUAC